rnacentral:rRNA from 1 species
GAUGAACGCUAGCGGGAGGCCUAACACAUGCAAGCCGAGCGGGAUUUAUUGGUUAGCUUGCUAACUAGUAAUGAGAGCGGCGUACGGGUGCGGAACACGUGUGCAACCUGCCUUUAUCAGGGAGAUAGCCUUUCGAAAGGAAGAUUAAUAUCCCAUAAUAUAUUGAUUGGCAUCAAUUGAUAUUGAAAGCUCCGGCGGAUAAAGAUGGGCACGCGCAAGAUUAGAUAGUUGGUGAGGUAACGGCUCACCAAGUCGACGAUCUUUAGGGGGCCUGAGAGGGUGAUCCCCCACACUGGUACUGAGACACGGACCAG